rnacentral:precursor_RNA from 15 species
AUAUAUAUUCAUGCUGAAAAAUCAGUGAUCAAUCAUGCUCAAAACAUUCGACAUAACUUAAUUUCUUUGUGGAAUGAUUGAGCUUGAUGGAUCGAUGAAAGAGUACACAUUUUUCUACAAA